GGGAUUGGGCGGCAGGCCUACACAUGCAAGUCGAGCGGAUGAAAGGAGCUUGCUCCUGGAUUCAGCGGCGGACGGGUGAGUAAUGCCUAGGAAUCUGCCUGGUAGUGGGGGACAACGUUUCGAAAGGAACGCUAAUACCGCAUACGUCCUACGGGAGAAAGCAGGGGACCUUCGGGCCUUGCGCUAUCAGAUGAGCCUAGGUCGGAUUAGCUAGUUGGUGAGGUAAUGGCUCACCAAGGCGACGAUCCGUAACUGGUCUGAGAGGAUGAUCAGUCACACUGGAACUGAGACACGGUCCAGACUCCUACGGGAGGCAGCAGUGGGGAAUAUUGGACAAUGGGCGAAAGCCUGAUCCAGCCAUGCCGCGUGUGUGAAGAAGGUCUUCGGAUUGUAAAGCACUUUAAGUUGGGAGGAAGGGCAGUAAAUUAAUACUUUGCUGUUUUGACGUUACCGACAGAAUAAGCACCGGCUAACUCUGUGCCAGCAGCCGCGGUAAUACAGAGGGUGCAAGCGUUAAUCGGAAUUACUGGGCGUAAAGCGCGCGUAGGUGGUUUGUUAAGUUGGAUGUGAAAUCCCCGGGCUCAACCUGGGAACUGCAUCCAAAACUGGCAAGCUAGAGUAUGGUAGAGGGUGGUGGAAUUUCCUGUGUAGCGGUGAAAUGCGUAGAUAUAGGAAGGAACACCAGUGGCGAAGGCGACCACCUGGACUGAUACUGACACUGAGGUGCGAAAGCGUGGGGAGCAAACAGGAUUAGAUACCCUG
rnacentral:rRNA from 1 species